GACGAACGCUGGCGGCGUGCUUAACACAUGCAAGUCGAACGGAAAGGCCCUGCUUUUGUGGGGUGCUCGAGUGGCGAACGGGUGAGUAACACGUGAGUAACCUGUCCUUGACUUUGUGAUAACUUCAGGAAACUGGGGCUAAUACCGGAUAGGAGCUCCUGCUGCACGGUGGGGGUUGGAAAGUUUCGGCGUUUGGGGAUGGACUCGCGGCUUAUCAGCUUGUUGGUGGGGUAGUGGCUUACCAAGGCUUUGACGGGUAGCCGGCCUGAGAGGGUGACCGGCCACAUGGGGACUGAGAGACGGCCCAGACUCCUACGGGAGGCAGCAGUGGGGAAUAUGGCACAAUGGGCGGAAGCCUGAUGCAGCAACGCCGCGUUCGGGAUGACGGCCUUCGGGUUGUAAACCGCUGUCGCCUGUGACGAAGCGUGAGUGACGGUAAUGGGUAAAGAAGCACCGGCUAACUACGUG
rnacentral:rRNA from 1 species